rnacentral:rRNA from 1 species
UACAGAGGGUGCAAGCGUUGUUCGGAAUUAUUGGGCGUAAAGCGCGUGUAGGCGGCUUGGCAAGUCGGGUGUGAAAGCCCUCAGCUCAACUGAGGAAGUGCGCCCGAAACUGCUGAGCUUGAGUGUCGGAGAGGGUGGCGGAAUUCCCCAAGUAGAGGUGAAAUCGUAGAUAUGGGGAGGAACACCGGUGGCGAAGGCGGCCGACCUGGA